rnacentral:lncRNA from 1 species
GUCCAUGGGUAUCUUCUGGUCCCCCAGCACUCAUGUGGAAGGCAAGGUCAUGGACACAAAAUGACCACAUCUCAUCUUUCAUUAUACCUGAGCUGCAGAGAACCAAGACUCCUUGAUGAUCAACGGAUUCCAUGUCUUGGGAUGGAGAAAAAUUAGGCUGGGACUUUGAGCUACAAUGAAUGCCAGAAGACAAGGAAAAUUUUAAAAUGUCUAGGGUCAUAUCUGAAGGGCAAAAGAGAUAGUUUUAAGAAACUCCUACUUGCUACAAUUUAAGCAUCAAAUGAGAAUAUUAACUAUAGCUAAUGAAUUGAGUCUAUAAGAAAUCUAUGGCACUCAAAGAUGAAAUAAGCUCAUUAAAAUGUAUAAGAUGAUAAUUAUAAUACAGAAGAAGGGUGAAUGAAAUUUUUAAAGUAACUAAAAUUCACAGGGAGUUAUUGACAUAUAUGACAUUCUGUUUUUCCAGGUACAUAUUUGUAAGUAUUAUGUAUUCUUUUUCUUAACCUAAGAGAUAGAAAUUAUACCCAGACAGCAAAGGCAAGUCAGCUCAAGAGAUCAUGGAAAAAAACUAAGUGGAAAGCAAGCCAGUGGGUUUCCCCAUGAUAGACCCAUCAAAAUUCAAGAAGAAAUCCUUGAUCAACACAACCUUUUAUCUCCCAGACAAUGAAAUGUGUGGAUGACUCAACUAAAUUCACCAAGAUGCAAAAACUCGAAAUUGAGGUGAAACAUCCUAUAUUAGCUUGCAAGGGCUGCUGUAACGGAGUACCUCAGACUAGGCAGCUUUAAACAAAACUUACCUUCUCACAAUUCUGGAGGCUGGAGGUUCAAGACCAAGGAAGGGACAAUGUAAGAGUUUGAGUGUCAGCAUGUUGGUUCCUACUGAGGCCAUGAGGGAAGAAGCAGCCCUAGGCCUCUCUCCUUGGCUUAUAAAUGGCUGCCUUCUCCCCAUGUGCUGAUACAUGUCUUUGUCCCAAUAGCACAUCAGUCAUAUUGGAUUAGGGUCCACUCGUACGGCUUCACUUUAAUUAAAUUAUUUCUUUAAAGAUACUGUCUACCAAUAUGGUUUCAUUCUAUGUCUACGAACAUGGUACUGGGGCUUAGGACUUCAAGAUAUGAAUUUGGGGAGAAUAUAAGUCAGUUCAUAACACAUCUCAUGACACAGACAUUGUAAAGGAAGAGAGCAGAGACACUGAGUUGCAGGGAAAGGUGCGGCUGUGGGCAUUCUCAUUGACAUAAUGAAUCAGUCUUGAUGACAAAUACCCACCAGGGUUUGACUUACUUUGGAAGUUCAAACUGUGGCCCUUGAUAUAUAUGGUCAUAAUCAGUUCAGUGAUUACUCAUCUCAGCUGAUCGAUCAUAAUCAUUUUGUUUUAUGUUUGAUAGGUGACUUUAACCUGGAAAAAUGCACUAAAAUAUAUUUAAAAAGGAAUGAAAUAAUGCCAUUUGCAGCAACAUGGAUGCAAUUAAAGAUUAUCAUACUAAGUGAAAGAGAAAGGCAGAAAGAGAAAGACAAAUGCCAUAUUAUAUCACCUAUAUGUGGAAUCUAAAAUAUGCCACAAAUGAACCUAUCUACAAAACAAAAACAGGCUAGCAGACAUAGAGAACAGAUUCGUGGUUGUCAAGGGGGAGUGGAAAGGGAGUGAGAUGGACUGGGAGUUUUGGGUUAGUAGAUGGAAACUAUUACAUUCAGAAUGGAAAAGCAAGAAGGUCCUACUGUAUAGCAUAGGGAAUGAUAUCCAAUCUCCUGGGAUAGAUCAUGAUGGAAAAUAACAUAGAAAAAGAAUGUAUAUAUGUAUGACUGGGUUACUUUGCUGUACAGCAGAAACUGGCAUAACAUUGUAAAUUAAUUAUAUUUUAAUAAAAAAUAAAAAUAAAUAUAUUAAAGUUUGUAACUAAUGGAGAAACCAGCUAAACAUAUAGGAUCACUAAUUUUCUCAAAGAUUGAGAAUGAAUAUAAAAAUAUAUUUGAUAAAGAUUAUGAUACUUUGUGACUAUCACACAUUUGUAAAUGUGUUUUAAAGGUGUUUGAAGCAAUUAAGGGAAUGAGGCAUAUUAAGGUUACGUGUUUAUUUAGAUGGAGAGUUUGAUUAAAGUCUGUAAUUAACUUUUAGAUGUGUAAGAGGAUUUGCAAAGUUUAAAUUUUGAUUUAUCAGUUGUGUGUAUUUAUAUUUAAAUGUUAGAGAAAAUCUUCUUUGUAUGCUUAUAGGUAGAUUUACAUUGAACAUUAAAGCAAGAAGAAGUAGUAAAUUUGAUUGUCCACUUGCACAAAACCCUUUCAGAAGUACACCUCCUAGUAGGACUCCAAAGGUGGUUUGGAGUUGGGAACAGGUGUGACAGCAUCAUUUCUUGGCCCCCUUGUGUGGGAAGAACUCAGGGCCCUUACAUUAAGCCCUCCCCUGUUCCACCCUCCAGGACUCGUGGCUGUUAAUUCCAGUGUAAAAGAUAGGAUGAUUUUCACUCAAGUGUAUAUUUCACUAACUAUUCUUUUGCAGCAUUAAGAUCCCUGAUGGCAAAUAACAGUGAUUGCGCCUCAUUGGAAAAUAUUGUGGCUGCCAUUGUACUUCUUAAGAGGUGAGAAUAAAUGGAAGAUGCAAAGAGACUUGCAUCAAAAUAGUUCCUAUCAACACUCACUGACCUUCACUAUCUCUGUUUGUGUUCCAGAUUCCCCACCUCCUUCUUUUUCCCUGCGUUCAUUCCAACAUACUCUCUUGUAGAAUGUUCUCCACUCCUCUUCACUCAGAGGGAGGCAACGAAUUGGUCUACUCUCCAAGGAAAACUUUAUAGUAUAGCCAGGGACUGUGCCUGGCCAGAGUCUGCUGUUGCUAAGAAAAUCAAUUCAAUAAAUUUAAUUCAUUAAAAAACGUCCAUGAUUCAAAACACU